rnacentral:misc_RNA from 1 species
CUAGAGGAAGUAAAAGUCGUAACAAGGUUUCCGUAGGUGAACCUGCGGAAGGAUCAUCAAUGAAUUUCAAAUGAUGGCCUACAUCUUUGAAUUGUCUAGUGAAUACUUUAUUUGCUUGACUGGAAUUGACGGAUUAUUGCUUAAUUCAGGCGAUAAUUAUUUUUAAAGUCCAGGUUUUUAAAGUAAGGCGGUACUUUGACCAAAAAAAUGAGGACAAAAAAAAUCUCAACUUUUACCGACCAAAAAACAACUUUCGGCAACGGAUCUCUCGGCUCACC